rnacentral:rRNA from 1 species
AGCGAACGCUGGCGGCAGGCCUAACACAUGCAAGUCGAACGAACCUUUCGGGGUUAGUGGCGGACGGGUGAGUAACACGUGGGAACGUGCCUUUAGGUUCGGAAUAACUCAGGGAAACUUGGGCUAAUACCGAAUGUGCCCUUCGGGGGAAAGAUUUAUCGCCUUUAGAGCGGCCCGCGUCUGAUUAGCUAGUUGGUUGAGGUAAUGGCUCACCAAGGCGACGAUCAGUAGCUGGUCUGAGAGGAUGAUCAGCCACAUUGGGACUGAGACACGGCCCAAACUCCUACGGGAGGCAGCAGUGGGGAAUCUUGCGCAAUGGGCGAAAGCCUGACGCAGCCAUGCCGCGUGAAUGAUGAAGGUCUUAGGAUUGUAAAAUUCUUUCACCGGGGACGAUAAUGACGGUACCCGGAGAAGAAGCCCCGGCUAACUUCGUG